rnacentral:snRNA from 1 species
AUACUUAACCUGACAGGGGGAUACCAUGAUAGAUCACGAAGGUGGUUUUCCCAGGGUGAGGCUUAUCCACUGCACUCUGAAUGUGCUGACCCAUGCGAUUUCCCCAAAUGUGGGAAACUCCACUGCAUAAUUUGUGGUAGUGGGGGACUGCCUUUGCACUCUCCCCUG